AGCUCCAAUAGCGUAUAUUAAAGUUGCUGCAGUUAAAAAGCUCGUAGUUGCAUUUCCGAGGCAAGGGAUUAGUCCGACCUUUGGUGGGUAUUUAAUCCUCUUGCCUCGUCCUUGAGUGGUGCUUCUUGGUAUUAAGUUAUCGAGGAGAUAGCCGCUCAUCGUUUACUGUGAGAAAAUUAGAGUGUUCAAAGCAGGCUUAUGCCGUUGAAUAUAUUAGCAUGGAAUAAUAAGAUAGGACCUCGGUACUAUUUUGUUUGUUUGAGAACCAAGGUAAUGAUGAAUAGGGACAGUUGGGGGUAUUCGUAUUCAGUUGUCAGAGGUGAAAUUCUUAGAUUUUCGGAAGACGAACUACUGCGAAAGCAUUUACCAAGGAUGUUUUCA
rnacentral:rRNA from 1 species